UACGUAGGGUGCAGGCGUUAAUCGGAAUUACUGGCGUAAGCGUGCGUCAGGCGGUUGACUAAGACGAGGUGUGCAAAUCCCCGGGCUUAACCUGGGAACUGGCUUGUAACUGGCAAGCUAGAGUGUGGCAGAGGGGGGUGGAAUUCCAGGUGAUAGCGUGAAAUGCGUAGAAGAUCUGGAGGAACACCGAUGGCGAAGGCAGCCCCCCUGGGCUAACACUGA
rnacentral:rRNA from 1 species